rnacentral:tRNA from 1 species
AAGUAAGAAGCAAUUAUUGCAUUUAAUUUCGACUUAAAAGAAAGAGUUAAUCAACUCCUUAUUUA